rnacentral:lncRNA from 1 species
CGCCGGGCUGGCCACAGAAGGACGGGGCCACGCCUCCCUCCGGCGUGUGGGCGGUGCCAUGACGUCAGUGGGCGGUGCAGAGGCGCUGUGGAGGCUGCAGGGAACGCCCCUGAUGGGGGCUGCCGUGGGGGCGAUGAUGCAGGCGGGAUAUAGAGUGAAACUAAAGCCAUAUUAGAAACAUCAACAUAUGUCAGCUGGUGCAAAAAGAGACCAAAAAUACCAGGACAAUACAGCUCUUUUAAGUGAUACAACCUCACCAUAAGGAGCAAAAGUGCUUCUGAAUUAUGCCUUUCCCAGAUCAAUUCUCUUUUAGACUGCAAUAUGUUUUUCUGGUGAACAGAUAGCUUUGCUUCAAGUCCAAAUAUCUAACUGCUUCAGAAAGAUCCUAGAGAAAUUAGGUGUCUUUUCUAUUGUGAAUUCAAUUUGUGCUGAGCCAUGAAAGUUGUGGUUAUUAUAAUUUGAUGUGUCUCAAAAUAUAUUUUCUCCAUCUGCUUGAUUUUCUGAUUAUAGCAGUAAAAAUAGAAAAAAUGUCAGAAAAAUAUCAACUAAUACAUAACAAUUUUUGAAACUGUUGCCUACAAUUUAUGCAGCAAAAGAAGGAAAACAGGCUGUGAGGAUGGAUUGCUAUGAAGAACCCUAUACAGUGACUUUCCUUAUUCCUGCAAGAAAUACAAAUACAGCAUUUGGAUCAUGGAAGGAGUCAUUUUCAUUAUUUACUUAGUAAAUGAAAAUCAUUAUGUAAAUAUAUAUAUAUGUGAAGUUUACUGUAAUAUUGAUGUUCUCUCUUAGUAUGUAUGAAAACACAUUUGCGAGAAAUCCAGAGAGAUUUCAGCUUCAUAUAACAUAUCUUCUAUAAUCAGAAAUUGCUCUUAAUAUGUUGCCUUAGCUAGAGCUACAAUGCAGAGAUUCCUUUCUCAACAGAAACUUCAGUAAUACGACUAGCAGAGAGGAGCUUCACUUUGAAGGCAACAGGAUUUUAUUUUGUUCUGAUUGAUUAAGAUCUUUGAGCAUACUUAUAGGUUGUAUUUUGAACUUGGUGGUUCAAUUAGUAGCCUCUUUUUAUCCUUCUUUGUUACUUCAGUUGGUUUUAGCAGAGGGAAAAAUUAAGUAGAUAUACAAAGACAGACAUCAGAGCAAGCAUCACUGAGACCGAUAUUUAAACAAGGACUUCUCUCUUGAACCUCUGCUAAGGACUUGUACAUGAUGCAUCAGUUGGUGAAAAAAAGUGUCUCUUACAGUUGAACCUUCAUUAAAAGUGUCAGUGGAAAGAGACAUUACCAAGGAGAAAACCCUUCUAGAAAGUACACAUAAUGGGAUGUCAAUAAACUGUCUCUUUGUUAUUUUGAGACUGGCA